GCUUUCAACAUCCCCGUCUCAAAGACGCCUGGAUGGCAUCGGCUUCGGCCGGUGCCGACGAGUCUUGAGAGACUGAAGGC
rnacentral:sRNA from 1 species